rnacentral:tRNA from 1 species
GUCCAGGGUAGCCUAGUGGUCAUGGCAUCCGCCCGGUAAGCGGAAGGUCGUGGGUUCGAUUCCCAUCCCUUGACA